rnacentral:rRNA from 1 species
AUGAAGGGCGUACUAAUCUGCGAUAAGCGCCGGUAAGGUGAUAUGAACCGUUAUAACCGGCGAUACCCGAAUGGGGAAACCCAGUGUGAUUCGUCACACUAUCAUUAACUGAAUCCAUAGGUUAAUGAGGCGAACCGGGGGAACUGAAACAUCUAAGUACCCCGAGGAAAAGAAAUCAACCGAGAUUCCCCCAGUAGCGGCGAGCGAACGGGGAGGAGCCCAGAGCCUGAAUCAGCAUGUGUGUUAGUGGAAGCGUCUGGAAAGGCGCGCGAUACAGGGUGACAGCCCCGUACACAAAAGCGCAUGUGCUGUGAGCUCGAUGAGUAGGGCGGGACACGUGGUAUCCUGUCUGAAUAUGGGGGGACCAUCCUCCAAGGCUAAAUACUCCUGACUGACCGAUAGUGAACCAGUACCGUGAGGGAAAGGCGAAAAGAACCCCGGCGAGGGGAGUGAAAAAGAACCUGAAACCGUGUACGUACAAGCAGUGGGAGCACCCUUUGGGUGUGACUGCGUACCUUUUGUAUAAUGGGUCAGCGACUUAUAUUCUGUAGCAAGGUUAACCGAAUAGGGGAGCCGGAGGGAAACCGAGUCUUAACCGGGCGUUAAGUUGCAGGGUAUAGACCCGAAACCCGGUGAUCUAGCCAUGGGCAGGUUGAAGGUUGGGUAACACUAACUGGAGGACCGAACCGACUAAUGUUGAAAAAUUAGCGGAUGACCUGUGGCUGGGGGUGAAAGGCCAAUCAAACCGGGAGAUAGCUGGUUCUCCCCGAAAGCUAUUUAGGUAGCGCCUCGUGAAUUCAUCUCCGGGGGUAGAGCACUGUUUCGGCUAGGGGGCCAUCCCGGCUUACCAACCCGAUGCAAACUGCGAAUACCGGAGAAUGUUAUCACGGGAGACACACGGCGGGUGCUAACGUCCGUCGUGAAGAGGGAAACAACCCAGACCGCCAGCUAAGGUCCCAAAGUCAUGGUUAAGUGGGAAACGAUGUGGGAAGGCCCAGACAGCCAGGAUGUUGGCUUAGAAGCAGCCAUCAUUUAAAGAAAGCGUAAUAGCUCACUGGUCGAGUCGGCCUGCGCGGAAGAUGUAACGGGGCUAAACCAUGCACCGAAGCUGCGGCAGCGACACUGUGUGUUGUUGGGUAGGGGAGCGUUCUGUAAGCCUGUGAAGGUGUGUCGUGAGGC